rnacentral:rRNA from 1 species
GAUGAACGCUGGCGGCGUGCCUAAUACAUGCAAGUAGAACGCUGAAGGAGGAGCUUGCUCUUCUGGAUGAGUUGCGAACGGGUGAGUAACGCGUAGGUAACCUGCCUGGUAGCGGGGGAUAACUAUUGGAAACGAUAGCUAAUACCGCAUGACAACAGUUAUUGCAUGAUAACUGUUUAAAAGGGGCAACUGCUCCACUACCAGAUGGACCUGCGUUGUAUUAGCUAGUUGGUGAGGUAACGGCUCACCAAGGCGACGAUACAUAGCCGACCUGAGAGGGUGAUCGGCCACACUGGGACUGAGACACGGCCCAGACUCCUACGGGAGGCAGCAGUAGGGAAUCUUCGGCAAUGGACGGAAGUCUGACCGAGCAACGCCGCGGGAGGGAAGAAGGGUUUCGGAUCGUAAAGCUCUGUUGUAAGAGAAGAACGAGUGUGAGAGUGGAAAGUUCACACUGUGACGGUAUCUUACCAGAAAGGGACGGCUAACUACGUG